CAGGAGCGGCUCUCCGCCGGCGUCCCUGGCUUCGCUGUGCUCUGGCCCCGCAGCAAGGUUUUCCUUUUCCCUACUGUUUCCUGCUUGAGGCUAUAGAAGGAACUGAACUUCUGGCUGACAAAACAACAAUUGCAAAUAUGUUCCGUUUUAUCUCAUAUACAACCCUUUUUGCCCUCCUCUGUGUAUACUUCCUCAUGCCUCUUCCUUCUCUUCUCUGCUACCUCAGAAAACACCCACUCACAAUGCUGUGGGAAAGUAGGAACUUGUGCUUUGCUGUGGAGUGCAAGAAAGUGACUCUAUCCAGCUUAUGUGGAAGCAUGACAUGCAUUUUGAGAAAAGCCUUCUUCGUAAUACAGUUGUGGGCUGUCUCACUGUUUUGGACUACACAUUUUGAGCAUUUACAGAAGAACCAUCCAUUGCUGUCAGUGGAACACAUCCAUGAUGGGUGCUUAUAUGGAUUAACACAAAAUAUAUAAAAGUUUUCCUGGAGGAAUCAGGAAAUUAGAGACUUCUGUGAAUCCCAGAGUGGGGCUACCUGCAUCAUUAAACACUUAACUAAGCCAUCUCAAAAUGGAGCUAACUGCUUGUGAAAAUCUCUCCGUUGUCACAUUCAGCAUCAUUAACAGGGAAGAUUUAGUAUUAUAUCAUUGCUUUUCUCUUGA